rnacentral:rRNA from 1 species
AUGAACGCUGGCGGCGUGCCUAAUACAUGCAAGUCGAGCGAACGGACGAGAAGCUUGCUUCUCUGAUGUUAGCGGCGGACGGGUGAGUAACACGUGGAUAACCUACCUAUAAGACUGGGAUAACUUCGGGAAACCGGAGCUAAUACCGGAUAAUAUUUUGAACCGCAUGGUUCAAAAGUGAAAGACGGUCUUGCUGUCACUUAUAGAUGGAUCCGCGCUGCAUUAGCUAGUUGGUAAGGUAUCGGCUUACCAAGGCAACGAUGCAUAGCCGACCUGAGAGGGUGAUCGGCCACACUGGAACUGAGACACGGUCCAGACUCCUACGGGAGGCAGCAGUAGGGAAUCUUCCGCAAUGGGCGAAAGCCUGACGGAGCAACGCCGCGUGAGUGAUGAAGGUCUUCGGAUCGUAAAACUCUGUUAUUAGGGAAGAACAUAUGUGUAAGUAACUGUGCACAUCUUGACGGUACCUAAUCAGAAAGCCACGGCUAACUACGUG